AUAUGUCUAACAUUGGUUGAAAGACAUUCUAGUUAAGCAUACAAACAAACACAAGCUUGUUUCAGAACAAAGGUAAAGAAUUCAGACUUCAUCUAAUUACACUUUGAUGAAUAAAAGGAGAUUAUAAGAUAUUUAAAGAGGGAAGAACAGGACAAUUUCAGAUGGAUCAAGCAAGGCUGAACAAGGGACAAUGGCUUUCGCUGCUGUAAAUAGUACUAUGGCACAACAGGAGAAUCAAUGAGGGGAGAAACUGGUGCAGCAGUUUUGAAAUAUCUACAGAAGACUUGACAACAAUACUUGAAUGAGGACAAUAUCUCUGCUCCCUACAGAGGGCCUUUGGCUAAGACACCAGGUGCUUACAUUUUUAUUAAGUCACUACUCUGAGGCCCAAGGGAGCUGAGGAAAUUGAGAGCAUGCAAGAGAAAUGGU
rnacentral:lncRNA from 10 species